CAGUCGCCACGGUAAUACAGAGGGUGCGAGCGUUAAUCGGAUUUACUGGGCGUAAAGCGUGCGUAGGCGGCUUCUUAAGUCGGAUGUGAAAUCCCUGAGCUUAACUUAGGAAUUGCAUUCGAUAAUGGGAAGCUAGAGUAUGGGAGAGGAUGGUAGAAUUCCAGGUGUAGCGGUGAAAUGCGUAGAGAUCUGGAGGAAUACCGAUGGCGAAGGCAGCCAUCUGGCCUAAUACUGACGCUGAGGUACGAAAGCAUGGGGAGCAAACAGGAUUAGAUACCCCCGUAGUCCCUGUCUCUUAUAC
rnacentral:rRNA from 1 species